AGCAGAAAACCUGUCAAUCAAGGAAUGUAAGGCAACGAUGCUGGGGCUUUACAUGUAUAGUAUUGAUGCGCGUACAAUAACCGUACGUCGUAUGUAAAGGCAAUAGGCUAUAAACCGAUGUGAGUAGGCUAUCUAAAUCCAGAUAUUUACCUAGAGCGUAAAUAAUCCUGUGGGGUUUUGUAGAUGAUGCGCGUCGCGUACGGUCAAUGUGAUUCCUUUGUAGGCCCACUAGACUAGAUUCCCUUUGUCACUCGCUCAAAAAUGUGGCACGGAUUUUACAGUCGUAGGAUGACAGAUUACUCAAGUGUUGUGAAAGCCACUCCUGAAACAAGUGUCAAUGUGCACAUGUGUCAGCGAUGACCGAAGUUGAAGUGACGUAUGCAGACUUCAUAGCCUCCGGUAGAACUGGACGAAGGAAUGCCCUGCAUGAUAUCCUCCAAAGCCCCACUGACCCAAACGCCAGCGAUCUCCCCCUGAGCCUAUCUCAACUCAACAUCAAUCCAACCGGAGCUGACAUGGAAGAAAGUCAGGAAUCGUCCACAAACGCUCUGCCACAGUCAGGGCAGAAGAAUCGGGGAAACUUUCAGGCCUAAACACUGAGUUGGGCCUGCACUCACCACCACAGUCUCCCAAAGUCACACAAACGGUGUAGUUUUGAAAGUAAACGGGAAAUCAUUAAACUGUGUAGAAUUCGACGCCCUUGGCUGGGUGAGACACCUGUUUUUAAUAUGGAGAUUGGGCCAAACAUCCCCGUAUUUAACAAUGGAUUAGGGCUAAAGCCAGACUGAGGUUGGCAAAUAGUGAUUUAAGUAAUAUUUCAGGAUCCAUCUAACUUAUUAGAGGAUGCAAGGAACUGCAAAGAGCAUAUAAAGAUCGGUUAUAAUGGUGCUGGUUGACAGUGGGUUUCCAGGUAGAAACUACAGGUGGACUACAGUUUGUGGUUAGUAUGGUGACUGAAAGGAUUUGAGCAUUUUGAUCUCAUACUUCCUUCAGAAACAUCCAGACACCACCCAAUUUUUUUAAUCGUAUAUGUUAUACAGUAUACGUCAUUGAUCACAGGUUUUCAUUAAACAACACCACUACCUUGGAUAUCGGCAUUAUUUACAGAAUAGAUUACACUAGGUCUGUCAACAUCUUAAUUUGCGCAGUGUUUCUUUAAAAAUGCACGUACACUAUUUUAUACUUUUUGUAUGCUUUGUUUGGGGUUGUAGUUUACACCUGAGACUGUAUCACUAUUGCUGCCGACCACAGAUGUAGCAACCAGAACUUUAAGAUACACUUUUUUAAUUCCAAGUUAGUUUAACAUUUUGCAGUGCUGUUGUUGAAGCCAAGCACCACUAAAGUGGGUGUGUA